rnacentral:rRNA from 1 species
GUGCCAGCAGCGGCGGUAAUACGAAGGGGGCUAGCGUUGUUCGGAAUUACUGGGCGUAAAGCGCACGUAGGCGGACAUUUAAGUCAGGGGUGAAAUCCCGGGGCUCAACCUCGGAACUGCCUUUGAUACUGGGUGUCUUGAGUAUGGAAGAGGUAAGUGGAAUUGCGAGUGUAGAGGUGAAAUUCGUAGAUAUUCGCAGGAACACCAGUGGCGAAGGCGGCUUACUGGUCCAUUACUGACGC